rnacentral:rRNA from 1 species
CAAUAGCGUAUAUUAAAGUUGUUGCGGUUAAAAAGCUCGUAGUUGGAUUUCUGUUGAGGACGACCGGUCCGCACUAUGUGCGUGUAUCUGGUUCGGCCUUGGCAUCCUUCUGGGGAACGGUGCUGCGCUUGAUUGCGUGGUCCGGUAUUCGGAACUUUUACUUUGAGGAAAUUAGAGUGUUUACGGCAGGCAAUCGCCUUGAAUAUAUUAGCAUGGAAUAAUACUAUAGGACCUUGGUUCUAUUUUGUUGGUUUCUAGAACUAAGGUAAUGAUUAAUAGGGAUAAUUGGGGGCAUUCGUAUUAACACGUCAGAGGUGAAAUUCUUGGAUUGUGUUACGACGAACUACUGCGAAAGCAUUUGCCAAGGAUGUUUUCAUUGA